CCCUUAGAUGUUCUGGGCCGCACGCGCGCUACACUGGUGCAUUCAACGAGUUUAUAACCUUGGUCGGAAGGCCUGGGUAAUCUUUUGAACGUGCACCGUGAUUGGGCUAGAGCGUUGCAAUUUUCGCUCUCAAACGAGGAAUGCCUAGUAAACGCAAGUCAUCAGCUUGCAUUGAUUACGUCCCUGCCCUUUGUACACACCGCCCGUCGCACCUACCGAUUGAAUGGUCCGGUGAAGCCUCCGGAUUGGCGCGCACCUCGGUGCCGCCGAGAAGUUGGCUAAACCUUACCAUUUAGAGGAAGGUGAAGUCGUAACA
rnacentral:rRNA from 1 species